UCCCUACGGGGGGCAGCAGUGAGGAAUAUUGGUCAAUGGGAGAGAUCCUGAACCAGCCAAGCCGCGUGAGGGAAGACGGCCCUAUGGGUUGUAAACCUCUUUUGUCGGAGAACAAAACCCGGGACGUGUCCCGGACUGCGUGUAUCCGAAGAGAAAGCAUCGGCUAACUCCGUGCCAGCAGCCGCGGUAAUACGGAGGAUGCGAGCGUUAUCCGGAUUUAUUGGGUUUAAAGGGUGCGUAGGCGGACUGUCAAGUCAGCGGUAAAAUACGGGGGCUCAACCUCCGCCCGCCGUUGAAACUGACGG
rnacentral:rRNA from 1 species